AUAUGUAGGCACACCACCCUGAACACUCCCUCUCCUGGAAGUUAAGCAAGGUGGGUCUUGGUUAGUACUCAGAUGGGAGAAUGAAAGGCUCGAGAUGAG
rnacentral:rRNA from 1 species